rnacentral:misc_RNA from 1 species
GGGGAAGAAAACAAGAGAGAAAAAUGCAGUCAGAUUUUUGGGUCAGGAUACAAGUUAAAAUGAUAGUUAUAGGCAUUACACUUAACGCCAGGUUGAAAUGUUGAAUACCAGUUGUCUCCAAUUCAGAAAUAGCAGCUUUAGGUGGUUGUUUCUGCUGUCAUUUAGCAGCAUCGUCAUUGGUACAGUCGUGAUCCAGCUUCCAGAUCAAGCUUUAAUUUAGGCUUUUCUCCAAUUACCUUUAUCUUC